rnacentral:rRNA from 1 species
GACGUAGGAGGCGAGCGUUAUCCGGAUUCACUGGGCGUAAAGCGUGCGCAGGCGGUUGGCCGUGUCCGAUGUGAAAGCCCCGGGCUUAACCUGGGAAUGGCAUUGGAAACUGGCUGGCUGGAGUGUGGCAGAGGGGGGUGGAAUUCCACGUGUAGCGGUGAAAUGCGUAGAGAUGUGGAGGAACACCAGUGGCGAAGGCGACUCUUUGGCCUGUAACUGACGCUGAGGCGCGAAAGCGUGGGGAGCAAACAGG